CUGGAUCACAAAGUUCUCCUUCUCCACCUGGGCCCGGAAGAGGAGAGGCCGCGUUAACGCCUGCGUGACCACGGUUCAGCACAGGCGCCAGCCAUUGCUGUGAGGUCACCUCGCCGAGUCCUGCCCCCCCCGCCGGUGGGCACAGGGACAGCGUGAUGACAGGCCAGGAAGCGGAGGCCGAAGGGGUCAAGUCGUCCGUCCGGCAUUUGAAGCCAGUUCGUUCUCAAGCGUGUCAAUGACCUCCUGGUUCCUCCUGUUCCGCUUCGUGAUCUCCUGGAUGAACUGGCUCUUGUCUCUGGCUUCCAUGGGGCAGGUAGCUGACCUUGUCCGUGAGCACCUGGCACAGGUCCUCGUGCUCCCGCACCGCCCUGGCGAGGUCCUCGCCCAGCAGGCCCUCCAGGUCCUCGGCGUUGGCUGCCACGUAGGACAGCAGCGUCACCAGCUCCACCUUUUGGAUGGUCUCAUCCAGCACGGACAUGAUCCUCUUGGUCUCGAUGGUGGGAAACCGAAAUCCCAGGUCCAGGACUGCGAUGAUUCCCGGUUAGAGUCUCAGCCCCGUUGGAGAUCCACAAGUCUCUGAUGAACCUGGGCUCCCAGCAGAAAGCACCUAAGACAGACCCCCCCCCCCCCCAUCCGCCCCACGUGCCCGUCCCUUGCCCUGCUCCUUCUUUAUGCCUCAUCCUGAUGAUCGGCCAUCCUAGUGGCUCAAGUCAGAAACCUGAGCGUCGCCCCACACAUCCCAUCUGCCCCCACUCCUAUCAGUGAUCUCUCCUCGACAGCUCCCUCCCCACGUCCUCCCUUUCAGCAGCCUCUCUGCCACCAGGGGCCUUGUAAUCUCUCGCUCAGAUGAUGAAAGAGCUGCUUACAUCUGCUGCUGCCCCCUGCAA